CAUGUGACUUGUGGGCUUCCCUUUGUCAUCCUUUGCCUGGGGCUCUGAGUGGGGCAGGGACAGCAAAGGGGUGCUCAGUUGUCACCUC
rnacentral:pre_miRNA from 1 species